UCUUGCAUCGGAAUGUAUAGAAA
rnacentral:snRNA from 1 species